UACGGAGGGUGCGAGCGUUGUCCGGAUUCAUUGGGCGUAAAGAGCGUGUAGGCGGCCAGGUAGGUCGGUUGUGAAACUGGAGGCUCAACCUUCAGAGGUCGACCGAAACCAUCUGGCUAGAGUCCGGGAGAGGAGAGUGGAAUUCCUGGUGUAGCGGUGAAAUGCGCAGAUAUCAGGAAGAACACCCGUGGCGAAAGCGGCUCUCUGGAACGGUACUGACGCUGAGACGCGAAAGCGUGGGGAGCGAACAGG
rnacentral:rRNA from 1 species